ensembl:lncRNA
GCUUCCUGCUUCUUCUAGUUUCAAAAAACUGGGGUUAUUUGCUAGAUUUUCUCUGUGCACUACAAUAGGAGAUAAUUUUUGACAAGGCCUUAAAGAAGGAACUAGUUAAGAAAUAAGUGUAUAAUACGAGAUUCAAUUUUACCACUGUCUAAUAAGAACUGCCAUUUGUUCUACUGAUUUCAGCCUUUAUCUCCCCUCUGAAAUGUAGAUAUUCCUUCAUACAUCAGCAAACUCAAGGGAAAUCAGAGCCAUGUUAUAGCAGGUUCUAUACAAGCACAUGGGAAUGAAUGAUGUUAAUCUAAAAAAAGUUUGAAAAUUAAUGCCAAAUAUGUGAAGAUAUUACUUAUCCACAGCUGCUGAGUGGGUGUGGUCUGGAGAUGGGAGGAACACAGGUCUUUUAAGACCCAAACCCUACCCAGUGAGCUCUGCUCCCAAAACACUGGCUGCUCUGAGAUUUUAUCAAAUCUAAGGUAUGUACUUCAAAAGCCAAAAUUAAAUGACAGUGAGAUAACAUCACCAAGAAAACCCCAAGAGGUCGCUGGUGCAUGGUUGCCACAAAGCCAGGAACAAGAGAGACAGCAAGUGACAGCUAAAGAAUAGGAGCAAGAGGAAGGAAACAGCAGAAGUUUUGGGAAGAAUUUAAUGUGAUCAGCUCCACAGAAAGAUUCUUGAAUGGUGACAUGGCAUUUUCAGGCAAGAUUCAAGAAAAACAAGUUUGUGGGAUACAACCUUCCAAAGAACAGCCUACUGCACUUCCCAAAUGUUUGGAGUUCCUAUCCGAGAUGGAGUAGGCUAUUUGGGGAACAAAGCUCUUUUAAGGACAUCCGGUUCAAUAAGGAUGAGAAAAGAUCUAAAUAAAUACUACCCAGAGACCUCUUACUUUCUUUGAAGACUGCAGUGAUCUUUUUAACAGUGCUGUGUAAAAAUGACAUAUGUGAAAUACAAUGAAAUUUGUCGAGAGUUCCAAUGCUGAAGAUUAAGUAAAUAUGAUUUUACUCUCUGUACUAAAUCUGCUGAUGAAGAAGCUAAAUUCUGAUCAGCAGCAGUUACAGUAACCAGCUCGCCUGCUUCUCUCAUGCUGGGGAUAAUUCUGCCUUGGAGAUGCCAUUUGUUGAUAUCUCUUUGCCAUGACAGAUGUUUAAGCUGAUACUUCUUCAGAUGACAAGACUGAAAAUAGACUUAACUCCAUUUGAUGGAAACCCCCCAGCAUCAAUGGAACCAGUGCAGACCUCGAGCCCUUUAUCUUGCCUCUCAGACACUACUUUGGCAGCCCCAUAUAUGAUAAUGUAAGAAUAAUUGCUUAUUACAUCUCUGCUCUAGCAUACAAGCAUUGUGUAACUCAGCAUUAAUGUCUGACAACCCAGCUGUCAUCUUUCCAAAAAUACUUGGUCUCUAACUACUGUAGCUGCUGCUGCUGCUUCUACUUCAAACCAAGGCAAGGGAUUUUGCUCUGGGCCAUUUUGACAGGGUGUUAUCUUUUGAAAAGACAGAUGUUUGUGCUGCAACUGUCUGGUGGUUUUAAGGCUCAUGCACAUGUUUCAAUAAAUAAGUGCUAAAUUACUUGCCA